UACAGAGACUGCAAGCGUUAUUCGGAUUCACUGGGCGUAAAGGGUGCGCAGGCGGUCGGGUGUGUCAGAUGUGAAAUCCCGAGGCUCAACCUGGGAAUGGCAGUGGAAACUAGGGGACUGGAAUCUGGCAGAGGGGGGUGGAAUGCCGCGUGUAGCAGUGAAAUGCGUAGAGAUGCGGCGGAACACCGAUGGCGAAGGCAGCCCCCUGGGCUGAGAUUGACGCUCAGGCACGAAAGCGUGGGGAGCAAACAGG
rnacentral:rRNA from 1 species